rnacentral:rRNA from 1 species
GUCACUCCUGCGGGAGGCAGCAGUGGGGAAUAUUGGACAAUGGGCGCAAGCCUGAUCCAGCCAUGCCGCGUGAGUGAUGAAGGCCCUAGGGUUGUAAAGCUCUUUCACCGGUGAAGAUAAUGACGGUAACCGGAGAAGAAGCCCCGGCUAACUUCGUGCCAGCAGCCGCGGUAAUACGAAGGGGGCUAGCGUUGUUCGGAUUUACUGGGCGUAAAGCGCACGUAGGCGGACUAUUAAGUCAGGGGUGAAAUCCCGGGGCUCAACCCCGGAACUGCCUUUGAUACUGGUAGUCUUGAGUUCGAGAGAGGUGAGUGGAAUUCCGAGUGUAGAGGUGAAAUUCGUAGAUAUUCGGAGGAACACCAGUGGCGAAGGCGGCUCACUGGCUCGAUACUGACGCUGAGGUGCGAAAGCGUGGGGAGCAAACAGGAUUAGAAACCCUUGUAGUCCCAUG